rnacentral:rRNA from 1 species
GACGAACGCUGGCGGCGUGCUUAACACAUGCAAGUCGAACGGAAAGGCCCCCAUCUUGGUGGGGGUGCUCGAGUGGCGAACGGGUGAGUAACACGUGGGUGAUCUGCCCUGUACUUCGGGAUAAGCUUGGGAAACUGGGUCUAAUACCGGAUAGGACCAUGGUUUAGUGUCUCAUGGUGGAAAGAUUAUUGUUUUGGUGCAGGAUGAGCUCGCGGCCUAUCAGCUUGUUGGUGGGGUAAUGGCCUACCAAGGCGUCGACGGGUAGCCGGCCUGAGAGGGUGGACGGCCACAUUGGGACUGAGAUACGGCCCAGACUCCUACGGGAGGCAGCAGUGGGGAAUAGUGCACAAUGGGCGCAAGCCUGAUGCAGCGACGCCGCGUGGGGGAGGACGGCCUUCGGGGUGUAAACUCCUUUCGUUAGGGACGAAGCCGCACUUUUUUUGGGUGUGGUGACGGUACCUUUGGUAAGAAGCACCGGCUAACUACGU